rnacentral:lncRNA from 1 species
AUCCCGUUACUCCUCCUUAUUAUAAAUUCCAGGCUUGAUUAUCGGCGAAUGAGAUCAAUAAAUAGAGAACGUGCAAGCAGGCAUCUCUUUGGCUCCAUCUCGUGCAAAGCGAACAAGACGAUCGACAAAGACGAUCUCUUUUCAGUCUCCGAUCGACUUUUACUCCGCGAUAGUCGCGAAAUAAAGAAAUAUACGAACAGCAGCGUUAAAACGUAAACGAAAUUAAACGGCGGUAAGAACGUAAAAGCACAUAGAAGAGAGCGGAGAAGACCGGUGUUGAUGACGAAGUGUGUCAAUGUCAAAUUGUUCGAGCCUCCAGACGAUAUUUCAGGCUUCCCUUACACAGAACGAAUCGUUAAUCUUUUCGUCUGUGUUUCUCUCAAACGUUCACCGAAUUCUUAAGUUUCUCGUCGAUCUUGCGUGGGAGAACGUGGUUAACAUGACGUCACCUAUGUCGAGGUUUUACUGAUCGAUAAAACGCGUCACAAUCGUCGCUAAUAUGGAUUGGUCUUACGUCCAUUCGUUACGUAGCGAGUCGUCGCUGUACGUGUUGCUCAAUCCCGAGGUCAUUAUGUUGGAGACGUCGUUUCGAUUUCGCCAUUUUGGGACAAAUCCGUUAUGCAACAGCAUUGAACAGGGAUUACUGGGGAACUAAGAAAAUGAAAUUUUCAUAUAUAUAUAUAUCGGAUUUUUAAUAGAAAACUUUUACACUGUCUCGUUCGGUAUCCCUUGAAAGAAGGGUCAUAAAGUUUCAGUAGCCUGUACAACGUUAACUACGAUUAAACGAAAUUUAUUUACUUUCGCUUUGAAGAGGAAUUUUUACUCAAAUAAUAGGAUAAUGAUAAUUUGUAGAAUCUGAAUCUAAGAAUAGAUUAAAACAGGAAACGAGCGUGUCUCGUAACUUUGCUUCGAAAAACGAUUUUUACCACGCAUUUAAAAGAGCCAAUUUCUUAAGCUUCCAGCUUAUGUCGAAAUUGAGUUACUCGUGCAACACAAUUCGUUCGAAUAAUUACAUUGUUACGCCAGACAAGGAGACAGAAGCGAAACAGCUUGCCAGGCAAUUAUAUGUAGCGUGGCAUGCAGAAGAAAACAACUAAACGGAGGUUGUAGAAAAGAUAGUACAUACUAUACAUACACCUCUUCGACAUCGCUGACUAUUAAUAGCUGACAAAGUCCGACAGAGAGCCAUAUCCGAGGCCAGAUUCGAUCCAAGGAAUUCUUUAAUCGUUCGACCCUUUCGACCGUCAUUCUUCCACCAUUCAAUGUCGAGGGUACCGCGCGAAUUUUCCUCACCUUUCACCGUGCCAAUUUCCUCCGAUAUCGUAAACAACCGCAGAACGGAAGCCAACGGAAAGCAAAAGUUUUAAAAAUUGAUCGAAAAACUUUUGAGAAGCGAUAAAUUUUGCAUAAACGCAUCUAGAAAAUAGUUUGUCUCGUUAAUUUCCUAGUUUUUAGGACAACAAGGGUAAACUAAAGUUCCAUUACGUUAAUUAAUGUUAAUUAAUGUUACACGAGCAAACAAAGAGAGAACCGUUCUUUGUUCCAGACGCUCGCGCGGUUACGUUACAAAUAAUUUGUUAGAGUGGACAGUAGGUGUCGAUAACACAACCGGCAUGGUAAAAGAUAAUUUCAUUCAAUACUUCGGUAGCAAACAGGCAAUGAGCGCUUAAUAGUCGUUUGUACUUGGCUUACUUAGAACGAUUGAAUGAGGAGGCUGACUUGAUUGGUGUCGUCGUACGACGACUUCGCAUCGCCACUACCGACUUCAGUACAAAUGGGGACUGAGGUUAACGCGCCAUGAUGUCACUCUCUGAUAUCAUAGUGUCCAUAUUCAGUAAAAUUGCCAAGCCUUCGACCAGAUUGUCCCCUCAAUUUCAAUCUCCACGAUAAUUCAGUAGCACGUGUAUACCAUCGGCACGUGUGACGUGACACACCGUAUAUUCUAUACACGAUACAUCUUGGAAGAAAAUUUCAAGGGAAAUUGUAAAUAAAACGACUAUAAUAGCGCCAGACGAGUUUACCAUAUCGGGAAGGAUAAAUAUUAUAACGCCGAAUUUUCAACCAUUUCUUUGCAAACUUGUGAAACUUGAUCCUAACCGGUUUGUUGUAACAUUCGCGCUACGUGGAUUUGCAAUACGAUCCGGCUGCAACUACUUAUAGCAUUCACGCACGUUUGUAUUUGCUAUAUACACGAUCUAUAGCUCAAAUGAAUUUUUAGUGCUUAAAUU